rnacentral:rRNA from 1 species
UAGGGAAUAUUGGUUAAUGUGCGAAAGCGCGAACCAGCAACGCCGCGUGUGCGAUGAAGGCCUUCGGGUCGUAAAGCACUUUUUGCAGGGAAGAGGAAGGACGGUACUUGCAGAAUAAGUCUCGGAUAACUACGUGCCAGCAGCCGCGGUCAAACGUAGGAGACGAGCGUUAUCCGGAUUUACUGGGCGUAAAGCGCGUGCAGGCGGCAUGGCAAGUUGGAUGUGAAAGCUCCCGGCUUAACUGGGAGAGGUCGUGCGAUACUGACAGGCGUGCGAGUGGGAGAGGGAAGCGGAAUGCCGGGUGUAGUGGUGAGAUGCAUAGAUAUCCGGAGGAACGCCAGUGGCGAAAGCAGCUUCCUGGCCCA